rnacentral:lncRNA from 1 species
AUCCUCCCACCCCUCAGCCUCCCAAGUAGCUGAGACUAUAGGUAUAUGCCACCACACCCUGCUAAUUUUUUGUACUUUUUGUUGGGACUGGAUUUUGCCAUGUUCCCCAGGCUGGUCUUGAACUCCUGGGCCCAAGAGAUUCCCUUGCCUCAGCCUCCCAAAGUGCCGGGGUUACAGGUGUGAGCUACCACGCCCAGCCACAAGUGUAACUGUAAUAGGUACCACCUCACCUAUAUAUCUCAUCCCCACCCUUGUAUAUUUUUGGUUAUGAGAGAAAUGCUCCACAUCGUUGGUCACUAUUUCAGAGCUUAUGUCACAUUCUGUAGGAUACCACUCUAAUCUUUUUUUUUCUUUCUUUCUUUGAGACAGAGUUUUGCUCUUGUCACCCAGGCUGGAGUACAAUGGUGCGAUUGCGGCUCACUGCAACCUCCAGCUCCUGGGUUCAAGCUAUUCUUCUGCCUCAGCCUCCCGAGUGGCUGGGAUUACGGGCAUGUGCCAAACACGCUUGGCUAAUUUUGUGUUUUUAGUAGAGAUGGGGUUUCACCAUGUUGGUCAGGCUGGUCUCGAACUCCUGACCUCAAGUGAUCCACCCGCCUUGGCCUCCCAAAGUGCUGGGAUUACAGGCGUGAGCCACCGUACCCGGCUGAUACCGCUAUGAUCUUAUGAGAUGUUGUCUCCAGUUGGCAAAAUAAAAACUAAGACCUCAGUAAGCCUAUUCUA